rnacentral:ncRNA from 2 species
GGUCACGAGUGCCAGCGCGAAGCCCCGGCUUGCUGGCCGGCAACCCUCCGACGCGGCGGGGUGCCCCGGGUGACGACCAGGCCAGUCCGGAGCGGACUUGGCAAGCGCGGCCC